AGGUCAGUAGGUUUUAGAUUAGGCCCCACGUGGCUCUAAACACACAUCACCUCCAAAGGGGUGGCUCUGAGGACACAGAUCACUCCUGUUUUGUGAUGUCAGCAGAACACUAAAUGUAUAAGGCCUGAUCCUUUCAGGUUCCAAAUGCCCCCAACUCUCAUUAGCAGCAGUGGCAGAAAUGGGAAAGGGAGCAAGGAAGGGCAACAAAAUAAAGGAAUGGACAGUCUUCUGUCUGAGGAGAGAGUGAAAAGAUCAGGACAAUUUAGUUUAGACGGCAAACGAAGAAGUGAUUACUGCUCUGUAGUGGAACAGAGGGCAGCUUUAUUAGAAGACACUGCACAGCAGUCUAGCAACAGAAGAAUGUGCCAGUUGACAGUUACAGAUAUUCCUCUGUGAGAUACGGCAGAAUGGUGGAAAUGAAACAGAUUAUAUAAAAAAUGUAAUUCAGAGCAGUUUCUGGUAAAGAGUCAAAGAACCAUAUAAUUCAACAUUUAUAUAGACAAGGCUUCAAGGGAACUCUUAAAAAAGAAACUGGAGGAAGUCGUGUUUGCAUUUUAUGUCAGUGGAUAUCUGCCUCCAAGAAACAAUGCUUGGCUGACAGGAAGACAACAACAAAAAUCUGACCACAGCCAGAGAUCAGUGGCACUGAAAUCUGCUUCCAGAUCCCCAGUGCUUUACGCUGCUACCCUGGGAAGCGUGCGGCCGAGGGAUUGGAAGCCUAAGGUAAAGGCACCGAGACCAAAGAAACACAAUCAAGAAUUAAAGUGACUUAGAGGAUGAGGGGAUGAACACCAGGGACCGGGGAGAGAAAUAAAAAGACCUUGGGAGCGAUGGAAGCACCAGGGCUUGGAGAAAGGACAUGCUGCCACUCACCAAU